rnacentral:rRNA from 1 species
UGGUAGCAAUACUGAGCGAAGCUAGUGGCGAACGGGUGCGUAACACAUGAGUCAUCUGCCCAAAAGUGGGGAAUAGCUCGGCGAAAGCCGGAUUAAUACCGCAUGUGGUCAGGCCUUUGGCCAGACCAAAGCCGGGGCAACCUGGCGCUUUUGGAGGAGCUCGUGGCCUAUCAGCUAGUUGGUGAGGUAACGGCUUACCAAGGCAGCGACGGGUAGCUGGUCUGAGAGGACGACCAGCCACAGUGGAACUGAGAUACGGUCCAGACACCUACGGGUGGCAGCAGUCGAGAAUUUUUCUCAAUGGGGGAAACCCUGAAGGAGCGACGCCGCGUGGAGGAUGAAUGCUUUCGGGUUGUAAACUCCUGUCAUUUGGGAACAAGGCUUUACGUUAACUGCGUGGAGGAUUGAUAGUACCAGAAGAGGAAGAGACGGCUAACUCUGUGCCAGCAGCCGCGGUAAUACAGAGGUCUCGAGCGUUGUUCGGAUUCAUUGGGCGUAAAGGGCGCGUAGGCGGCGGGGUAAGUCUGGUGUGAAAUCUAGGAGCUCAACUCCUAAACUGCACUGGAUACUGCUUUGCUAGAGGACUGGAGAGGAGACUGGAAUUCUCGGUGUAGCA